GUUGCUACUUUGGCUGUUUGGGGGCGAAUAAACAAACGACCCCGCGGUCACAUUCACCGGAAUGAUGCUAGGAGAAAAGUAGGCAUCGCUGUGAGAAGGAAUAUGGCGUUUGGUAUCGGUUUUGUUUGUGUUUCUGCAAAUAGACGGUUGCAGGUGGACUGGUGUUUACAUGGUCCGUGGGAGCUGGAAGUCCGCAGCUGUGUGGCGGCUGCAGUGCUUUUAUUAGUCUCCUAGCUGCAGACCUGCAGCCUCAAUGGAUGUCAUCUGGGAAGAAGAAGAGGAGCCUUGUAGAGACCAGCUGAAGGAACAUCUUCUCUGAGCUGAAGCUCUGAGAUGAGUGCAGAGUUUCCGGACCACAACGGAGAAGUUCCUUCACUCCAUUCAUGCCUUCUUCUCUCCGUACUCACUGUAUACUCAUAGUAUUGUAUGUCAUGAAAUAAUUUAAAGUAAAGUAAGUAAUAGUACGUAUAAUGUCAAAAAAAGCUCAGAAAAGUCAUACAUAAUGUCAAAAAGUGUUAUUACAUAGUUAUUACAUUGUUAUAACAUGUAUUAAUGACAAAAAUCUAUCAAAAAGUGUUAUUACAUAGUUAUUACAUUGUUAUAACAUGUAUUAAUGACCAAAACAUCUAUCAAAAAGUGUUAUUACACAGUUGUACACAGUACAUGCCAUAAAAGUGGGCGUAAAUUAUUUUUUCGUCCAUGAAAAAAAAAUUCAAAAAAAAUUCUAAUUUUUUUUUUUCUUAAAUGAGGAUGUUCUCUUCCUUUGUCGGAGUUGUCCUAUUCGGGUCUCUCCCUUGCUCUGAGGUGUCCUACUCUGGUCUCUCCCUUUCUCUGAUUUGUCCUACUCUGGUCUCUCCCUUUCUCUGAGGUGUUCUACUUUGGUCUCUCCCUUUGUCUGAGUUGUCCUACUCUUGUCUCUUCCUUUGUCUGAGGUGUCCUACUCUUGUCUCUCCCUUUGUCUGAGGUGUCCUACUCUUGUCUCUCCCUUUGUCUGAGGUGUCCUACUCUUGUCUCUCCCUUUGUCUGAGGUGUCCUACUCUUGUCUCUUCCUUUGUCUGAGGUGUCCUACUCUGGUCUCUUCCUUUGUCUGAGGUGUCCUACUCUGGUCUCUCCCUUUCUCUGAGGUGUCCUACUCUGGUCUCUCCCUUUCUCUGAGGUGUCCUACUCUGGUUUCUCCCUUGCUCUGAGGUGUCCUACUCUGGUCUCUCCCUUUCUCUGAGUUUUCCUACUCUGGUCUCUGCCUGUCCUUGUGUUAAUACUCUCCUACUCUCUUCUUGCCUGCACUUCCUUUCCUAGCCUCUCUUUCCUAUCUGGGGGGCCUAUCUAAGUGCACAUACGCUGAUACAGAGCUGGUCUUGAACCCGUCA